rnacentral:lncRNA from 10 species
GGGAUUAAUCCUGAUGGGGUCUGCGGCGGCCCUUGCCCAGCGCCUUCCACAUGUGGAGCGGGCCAGUGGUGCUAGUUCUGCCGCCAACUCUGGACGGUUGAGUUCAGGGCCACUUUUUACUCAGGCACGGAUGUGACAGAAAGAUGGAAAAGGGUCUUGGAAGAACCACAUGUGCCGUAUAACGAACGACCUUUUGGUCUGAGGAGGACCGUGUAUAUGACGGUGGUCCCAUAACAUGAUAACGGAGCUGGAAACUUCCUGUCCUCUGGUGAGGGCUUAGCUAAGGACAUUUCCUCUCCUGUAUUUGGAGAUACACGUACAGGUAGGUGGUACCAGUACAGACUGUUGCUGGAGUUUAUGGGAGCCCUAAGUGAGACCCCUCUUGCAUUUUGAAUCUCCCUGGCUUAGAUGAGAUUCGUAUAUUGUUCAAAUGACCUGAUUCCAUACUCAAUGGGGCU